rnacentral:ncRNA from 2 species
UCGUGAGGUAGAGGCGCGAUACUUAACAGUUUUAUAUGGAGCCAUGAGCUGGCUGUGAAAUAUAAGAGAAGGAAAUAUCGCCGAAGUGUUGUAAAUGCUCAAUUUUACAAUGCUGGGUCUGCAGUGAACAAUUGCAGAACUGUCUCAAUCAUCUAUAUCCCUGAUGGUUGAGUUGUGCUAUCUCAAAA